rnacentral:ribozyme from 16 species
GAAAUAAUGAAAAUUGAGGUCAUUUGUGGGUAUUUGGUCAUUUCUCGUUGUUUUUUGUUGAGUCUUUUGGCCCCUUUUUUUGACUCAAAUUU